rnacentral:lncRNA from 1 species
CGGUCGUCCGAGUCCGACGAAGGUAACUCUUCCCUAGUUCCCUUCAUCCCCUGUCCUGCGCCCUUGCUACCCGUAGAUGUCAUGUCUGAUGUUGCUCCUGCUAGGUAUGAGGCCAUGCUCUGGUUCAUUUUUACCAUGCUCUCAGUAAGCGCCGCCGCCUCUUCUCCUCCCCCCGUUAGAUGACCACGCCAUUAGAGGAUUGAUGAAGUAUUGGGUUUAGCAGUGAAUUUUGGUUUCUUGACAUAGAGAUAAAAUCAGAUUUUAGAUUUAGCCAUGGACUCGGAAAUUAUUAUCUGAACCCUAGCACAGAUUUAAUUUAUCAUGAAGCAUAAGAACUAUAACAACUCUGUCAAUUAGGCUAGAUCAAUUAUAGUUCAUAUAGUAGUCCGUGAGUAGCAUAUUUUUAAUAAAGAGAUCAAUUUGAAUAAUUAGGGAGUCUAUGAACAGAAACAUAGACCUUUAUAAUUAUAGCAUGCAUGCAGUUAUGUGCGGGCAUUUCUCAUUAACUCUUUCUUAGACUCAUUACUGGGAUUUUGUACAUGGCAGUUAAGGAGAAACAAUAUGAAACGUAUGGAAUAGUUAAUUUGAGUGUGCUUGAUUUCCUUCGGCCAUUGUUCUUACUGAAAGCAAUAUUUUCUUAAUUUGAGUGUGUUUGAUGCGAGGACGGGAGCUGCGCGACGUGGUGGGCGGGAGCGGCGGGCUCGGCACCGGCGGCGGCGGCCUCCCUUCCCCGACCUCCCAUGCGUGGCGGCGGCAUCCCUUCCCCGACGGCGGCGGGCACGGCGACGACGAC